rnacentral:rRNA from 1 species
UGGGGAAUUUUGGACAAUGGGCGAAAGCCUGAUCCAGCAAUGCCGCGUGUGUGAAGAAGGCCUUCGGGUUGUAAAGCACUUUUGUCCGGAAAGAAAUCCUUGGCUCUAAUACAGUCGGGGGAUACGGUACCGGAAGAAUAAGCACCGGCUAACUACGUGCCAGCAGCCGCGGUAAUACGUAGGGUGCAAGCGUUAAUCGGAAUUACUGGGCGUAAAGCGUGCGCAGGCGGUUUUGCUAAGACCGAUGUGAAAUCCCGGGCUCAACCUGGGAACUGCAUUGGUGACUGGCAGGCUAGAGUAUGGCAGAGGGGGGUAGAAUUCCACGUGUAGCAGUGAAAUGCGUAGAGAUGUGGAGGAAUACCGAUGGCGAAGGCAGCCCCCUGGGCCAAUACUGACGCUCAUGCACGAAAAGCGUGGGGAGCAAAACAGGAUUNGAUACCCUGGUAGUCACGCCCUAAAACGAUGUCAACU